GUGGGAGUAUUGUGGUGAAUUACAUAUUUAGAUUAUGGUAUGGUCAUGGAAACCUAGAGAAGGAAACUGGCUUGGUGCUCUAGAGCCAGGACAUGAUCCAGGAGAUGUUCGUCAUGUCGAGCCUCCUAACCAUCGGCUCCAGCCAUCGGCAGCUAGAGUUCCUCGAUGGUUCAUGUGGCCUUAACCGCCGCUGGGCUCCCUGCGCCCACGCCUCAAUUCUUCUACCUCUUCUCAGGCCUUCUACCCCCCGCCGGUGCCGCCUCCUCGCGAGAUCCCGGACAUGAUCUUGAGGUUUGACCCUGAAUGCUUGGGUCUAGGUAGCUGAAGAUUCUUAGGUCCGUGGUGACAGUGAUUGUUAGGUCCGUGGUGACAGUGAGCAUCAUUGGUCAACAAGGUUUCAGUG